GUGUAUCUGAUAUAUCUCUCUCCCAAUUAUCAAAAGAAAUUAAACCCAGCAACACCCACCCUCUCACCUUCACGAAGAACCAAAACCCAGCAACCUUCAAUUCGCACCCAAAACGCAGCAACCCAGCGUCGUCCUCACCUUCGCAAGAACCAGCGCCGUCCUCUCUCUCACUCGCAAUCGUCCUCUCUCUCACGAACCCUAACUCCAAAUCGAAGCUUCUCUUUCUUUCUCCGGCCUCUACUCUCACGAAUCGAAGCUUGUUUUUCUCUCUCACAUCGAUUCAGGUAUGGAUCGUAGUUGGAUGAAAGCUAGUAGAUUAAGUGCCGAGUUUGAAGCUGUCUUUGAAUGGAAAGAUCAAGAAGCUACCUGAUCCGCAUGAGUUCCCGCCGAAUCUGUUGAAAUUAACUUUACAUAAUUCCCACCUACAGAAGCAGUCUAUUGCCAAACUUGAGAGAUUGCCAAAACUUAAAAUGCUCAUUUUGGGUAAAAAGGCAUACAAUUGGACAGAGUUGAGCUUCAGUGCUGAAGGGUUUUCACAAUUGCACGUUUUGCGGCUCACUCUUUUGAAAGAACUGGAGGAAUGGAAAGUUGAGGAAAAGGCAAUGCCAAUGCUGGAGUAUAUUGUUAUUGAUCGGUGUGAGAAGCUGAGAAAGAUUCCAGAAGGACUGAAGGAUAUCACUUCUUUGAAGAAAAUUAAAAUUACAGGCAUGUCGGUAGAUUUUGAACAUAGACUUCGAACUAAAGAUUUGUUUGAGUUCAAAAAUACUCCAAUUAUAGAAUCGACAACAGACAUUUUAUCAAUUGAUUGAUUGCCGGCACAGUGUGUGCUUUUUUUGAAGUUGCCAGCGCAGUGUUGAUGGGUGAUAGGAACUUCCAUGGAGGAAUGGAAGCAUUUUCAAGUUCCGGCAUUCCACUGUACAGCAUGCACUCUUCAUUUUUUAUUUUGGCAAUGCAUUGUCAAAUACUUACGAGUCUUUCCACUUCUCCUAUGAUCAAAGGGUUUUACUCCCUUUUAUUAAUUGGGAAUGACUUGCAAUAAAAGGAUUGAUUUCUGGCACUGUUUUGGUGGGAGAUAGGAACUUUCGUCUAAGGAAUGGAAGCGUUUCCAAGUUCCCACACUCCAUUGUACAGAAUGUAAUCAUCAUUUUAUUUCGACAAUAUACACACUGCUCAUUGAUCAAAGGGUUUCAUUCCCUUUUAUUAAUUGGGAAUGACUUCCAAUAAAAGGGUUGUCAUAAUCUGUGGAACUCGUGUGAGUAUUGCAGUUUUCUAUAAUAGAGCAACAUCAGGUACAUUCCCUCAGAUUGAACACCUACGAAAAAUUUAAUGAAUCAUCUUUGCUCAGACAGAUAUCUCAAUUUUCUAUUUCUAGUUUAAGUUUUCAACACGUCCAGAUAAGGGUAGCAUAAUUGUGAUAGUGGCAACCUCUGCCUUUGCAUUUUGCUUUGACAUCAACUUUAACAGUUGCAAAGUUGCAAUUGCAAAUUUAAGUGCCGAGUUUGAACGGCGAGUGAUUGAAUUUAUUCGCAAUUUUAAGAUGUCGCCAAAGUAUAUGAAAGACUUGUUGGUGGGUGAUAAUUGGCUUGACUUUUCAAUUCUACAGCUUUGGUGCACGUAUAUGCAACGUCUUUCCAUAGACACAAAAAACUCAGAUCUGUUUGCAUUUUUGGACCCGGUUCAAUUGAGUUUUGCAUCAAAGCCAGUUUCACUUCAAAAGGCGGGUAAACAAUACAUUCAAAAUAAUUUGCGUGAUCUAAACAAAAUGUGCUACUUAGCACCACAUCUUUUGGAGUAAGCUCUUAUUUAAUCCUUUAGUUUUGAUUUACUUCACUUGCUAUUCAUUCUUUCAUCACCUCAUUACAAUGUUUUGAUUCACCUCAUUCUUUCACGUGUACAGCGGGCA